rnacentral:lncRNA from 1 species
AUGAAACAAACACAUUCAUUUCAUCAUCUACAAAGACAUAACAUGAAGUUUUGUCAUGAGUCUGCAAUGAACAAGUCUACUGAUGUCAUUUGUCUAAAAGUAUGGGCUCACUUCAUGGCUCUGUGUCACAUUUUGGUUUUCCAUCACAGUUUUUCCACUACUUGGAUUUCUAAUAAAUUGUCAGCUGUAAACAUGCAAAUAUCAUUGUGAUAAAGAGUAUCAUAUAAGAGGCCAUGCUGUAAACAUUUCAGCAGCUGAAAAUACAUGGAAUUCUGUAUACUACCUGGUAAACAUUGCACAAAUUAUUCAGUCUGGCUGUCUACUUUGAUUUAAUUGGAGAGAGAAACUGUAAACUGUUCUAUUUAUAUUCUGAGAACACAGUAUCUCUAAAGACAAAACUGAAUAAAUUUCAUCAUUAUUCAAUAAAAAAUUUGUUUA